AAACUUUACAAUGCGGGAAACCGUGAUAAGGGAACACCGAGUGCCAGCAUCAUAUGCUGGCUGUCCAGAUGUGUAAACUACAUCUGUUAGCAAGGGCCGGGCAAGACCGGUGCCAGCCGCCGCGGUAACACCGGCGGCCCGAGUGGUGACCGUUUUUAUUGGGUCUAAAGGGUCCGUAGCCGGUUUGGUCAGUCCUCCGGGAAAUCUGAUAGCUUAACUGUUAGGCUUUCGGGGGAUACUGCCAGGCUUGGAACCGGGAGAGGUAAGAGGUACUACAGGGGUAGGAGUGAAAUCUUGUAAUCCCUGUGAGACCACCUGUGGCGAAGGCGUCUUACCAGAACGGGUUCGACGGUGAGGGACGAAAGCUGGGGGCACGAACCGGAUUAGAUACCCGGGUAGUCCUAGCCGUAAACGAUACUCGCUAGGUGUCGGCCACGGUGCGACCGUUGUCGGUGCCGUAGGGAAGCCGUGAAGCGAGCCACCUGGGAAGUACGGCCGCAAGGCUGAAACUUAAAGGAAUUGGCCGGGGAGCACCACAACGGGUGGAGCUUGCGGUUU
rnacentral:rRNA from 1 species